AUAGCUAAACCCUAAAUUUUGUC
rnacentral:snRNA from 1 species